ACACUGUUUAGCUAAUUCUCUGCCUUUCGUCUCUUGUCACAGCAGCACUUACCUUUAGGAGGUCAGGUGACUGACUCUUCAGAAGAAAAAGUCAGUAUUGCUUCAUGGAUUGACUAACAGAAGUAGCUGCAUACAUGACAGCUGAAGAUGCACUUUCCCUGGGGACUAAGCGCAGUAUGUUCAUGACAAGUGCAGCUAUCGCUGGUUGGGGGCUUGAAAGAUGAGCUUGUUUCUGAACCCAAGACUUCUCAUUGGUGUCUCAUCAGUGCAACCUGGACCCCUGAACGAACUCAUAAUAGAAUAUUGCUAUGUCCCGUGAAGACCAUUCUGCUUUCUGGGCCAGUGAAGACCAGGCCUAUAGAAGAGGAGAACUACAAUAGCAGCACAGCUGUAUGAACAUUCUCUGUUAGCUGUCAGUUGCACUUGAGGUCUGCAUAUCACAAUCCAAGCCAAAGAGAAAGUGAUCUAGUUGCAUUUGGCAGAGGGGAACUGAGGAACUAUAGAGAUGAGAGAAUUGACAGCUGCCAAAAUGAUGGAGUGGAAUUAGCUUUUCCUCUAAAACCUGCAGGUGACAGACUCUGUUGGACAAAGCAAAACAACACUAUGUAUCGAGUCAUAACUGACUGAAAAACUUGAAAACAACUGCAUCUUUCAAACAUGGUAUAAAGAUCAUGUCGUUUUCAGGAGUACCCAGAUGAAGUCAAGGCUCCAUUGUGCUAGGUGCUGUACAUUUACGUAGCAAGAAACAACUGCUGCCUCAUAAAGCUUACCAUCAAACUAGACAAGACAAACAGCUGGAGAAAGCAAGUAUUAACUCAUCUUACAGAUGGGAAAUGGAAGCAGAGAGAAGCUAAAAGGGCUGAGAAUGACAUUCUGCCCCCCGCACUCCCCACUCACCAAUGUGCUUAACCAAAAUGCAUCCUCCCCUCUUGUAAACUGGUUGGUUGCUGCAUUUAGCCCAGAGGAAGGUGCUUCCCAGUAAUUCUGUAUGAAUAGAGUUUUUAAGUGCUUUAGAAUUUUAUGGAAUGAAGUAAGCUAUACACAUCAAAAAUAUUUUAAUUUGGUGUCUGUGGUUAUUUUAAGGGACAGAAUCCCUUGCAGAGUUCCUUGCAUUCAUAGAAGAAUGAGGAUCCACAUUAAUCUUAUUUAUUUUGGUCACUACCAUACAAACACACAACCACAUGAAUUCCAGAUUCCAUAGAACCCUGUCGAAUCUCCCCACUCUUUCCAUGUAUGCCAUGUUCUAAUGCAUGUCAGUGUAACUUUUUUCUCCCCUAGUAGUUUACUCUCAAAUGUUUCCUACAACAGUAUAAAAGAAAUAAUUAUCAAGAUCCAGGAUCUUGCC